rnacentral:rRNA from 1 species
GGUCGACCCGCUGAAUUUAAGCAUAUCAAUAAGCGGAGGAAAAGAAACUAACAAGGAUUCCCUUAGUAGCGGCGAGCGAACAGGGAUAAGCCCAAAACCGAAUCCUGUAGCGUAAGCUAUUAGGAAAUGUGGUUUAUGGUGUUUUACCUACAGUACGUUGGAGUUGCUUCAAGUCCACUUGAUUGUGGCUUCGAGCCCAAAGAGGGUGAAAGGCCCGUACAAGCAGCACAAUGUAUUCCGGUGAAACACCUAGAGUCGGGUUGUUUGGGAUUGCAGCCCAAAUCGGGUGGUAAACUCCAUCCAAGGCUAAAUACAACACGAGUCCGAUAGUGAACAAGUACCAUGAGGGAAAGUUGAAAAGAACUUUGAAGAGAGAGUUCAAUAGUGCGUGAAACCGCUCAAGGAGAAACGGACAGAACUGAAGGGUGAGCGUCGCAUUUGUAUUUCACUGGUUGCAUGCAUCAAGUGCUGAGACAGCUUAAACUGCUCGAUUUGGUGUUUGUUGGCCAGUGUUGUGCUAUUGCGUGCGUUCUAACACCACGAUCAGUAAAGUAGUUGGCUUGCCAUUAAGUAGAAGGUGGCUCAGUUUACUGAGUGUUAUAGCUGCUUUUUGCAACGCCAGCAAAAUACUGUUUUGCCGUUUGUCAUUGUAGUACAUAUGGCUGCUUGUGGUACAAAGAAGCCGAUUUGACUCUUUAAGAGACAUGUUGGUUCUCCGAGUGCUGUUGGUAGUCCUCUAUGUGUUGCAGUACAAUCUGUGGUGCAAAUGUAAGUAAUCUGUCCGACCCGUCUUGAAACACGGACCAAGGAGUUUAACUUGUGCGCGAGUCAUAGGGUUCUACGAAACCUAAAGGCGUAGUGAAAGUAAAGAUUUGCUUUUUGCAGAUCAAGGUAGGAUCUCGGUUCCAAUGUGUGCAAACACAUGGGCUGGGCGCACUACCGGCUCGUCCCAUGCUUUAUUUGAAGCGGGGCGAAGCAAGAGCGCACAUGUUGAGACCCGAAAGAUGGUGAACUAUGCUUGAGUAGGUUGAAGCCAGAGGAAACUCUGGUGGAGGACCGUAGCAAUUCUGACGUGCAAAUCGAUUGUCAAACUUGAGUAUAGCGGCGAAAGACUAAUCGAACCAUCUAGUAGCUGGUUCCCUCCGAAGUUUCCCUCAGGAUAGCUGGCACUCGGGAAACAAACAGUUUUAUCCGGUAAAGCGAAUGAUUAGCAGUAUUGGGGAUGACAUAUCCUCAACUGAUUCUCAAACUUUAAAUGGGUGAGAUACUGUACUCUCUUAAUUGGAGUACGGGGAUAACUGAAUGUGAGUGCCUAGUGGGCCAUUUUUGGUAAGCAGAACUGGCGCUGUGGGAUGAACCAAACGUCUGGUUAAGGAGCCAAACAUAACGCUCAUGAGAUACCACAAAAGGUGUUGGUUGAUAUUGACAGCAGGACGGUGGCCAUGGAAGUUGGAAUCCGCUAAGGAGUGUGUAACAACUCACCUGCCGAAUCAACCAGCCCUGAAAAUGGAUGGCGCUGGAGCGUUGGUCCUAUACCAGACCGUUACCGUGAAUGGCAAUGUAUACGGUAACGAGUAGGAGGGCGCCGUGGUGAGCAUUGAAGCCUAUGCCGUGAGGUUAGGUGGAGCCGCCACGGGUGCAGAUCUUGGUGGUAGUAGCAAAUAUUCAAGUGAGAACCUUGAAG